UACUAUAGAGAGAACCUCAGCAAACCCUUUUUUUGUGGAAAAAAUACUUUUUGGAAUAUUGGAUUGUAUGAGAUCGGCAAUCGACUAGUGUUGGCUUCACCGGAAAACAAUAAAUCAACAGAGCUAUGAUAAAAUUACAUCCACUCCGCUGACACACACUCAAUGGGCCAGACCCCAGCCACCAGCUGUGUCCACAAUUCAGGAGUCACUGUCUGAUCGAGAAGCGAAUUUCUCUGUGGAGGGAGUUGAGAAAAUGGCCAGCAGUAGUAGCAGUGAGGAAGAAAGAAGAACUGUUCUACAAGAAGAAGCAAGGAUUGACUGGGAUGAUGACACAUGGGAUGAAACUUGGACUCCAGAUACAGAGACACAAUCACAGUCAUCCUCAGAAAAAGAUGAGACUGAGGAGGUUGAUCUCUCAGAAGAACACGAGACCUGUGAAACCCCCACUGACGUGGAUGAAGCAGAAGACCUGGAUCCUCAAAUUUGCAUUAGGUAUGUGUAUUAUUAUUAUUUUAUCAUUUUGUAAUGGAAAAUAUUUUGAUGCUUGCAGGAAGUUGCCACAACACCAGACGCACCUAUGGUCCUCACAGAGGAAGACGUCAUCGGUCGGCCCGCAUCCAUAGUCUAUCAUGACAUUAUAAAGCAGCUGCUGGACUUCCUUAUUCUUCCAAUUGAAAAAUGCACAGUGAAGGAUUCCAUCACAAAGGCACCCUGUAAUGCAGCUAAGCCAUUUGAGGUUUCUGUAAAAUCAAGGUCGUCUGCUGUCAUUGCGGAAUGGAUAUGUCCAAAUGGUCACACUGUUUGGAAGUGGAGUUCACAGCGAUAUUUCAAGUAUGGAAUGCUCGCUGGGGAUUUUAUGUUGAGUGUGAACAUCCUCCUGUCUGGAAACAACUUCCGGAAAAUAGCUCUGCUCUUCAAGUUUAUGAACUUGGGGAUGAUAGACCCAAAUACAUUCUACAAAAUCCAAAACAAAUUUUGUCUGCCGAAUAUUGAAGAUUUGUGGAAGAGGGAGAGUAGCAAUGUCAUCAGCCAGUUGAGUUCAAAGGAAUCUGUUGUGCUCCUUGGUGAUGCUAGGAUGGACAGUCCUGGGUUCUGUGCCGAAUUCUGCACAUACACUACAAUGGAGAAUGACACAAAAAGAAUUGUGUCGACAGGUCGGAGGGAACUCUGUGGCUAUGGAGAAGGUGACAUUCAUGGAGACCAUGGACACUCUGUGUCCAAAGUUGGGGAAUGUGACGGAAUUUUGCACUGAUGCCAAUAUACAAAUAUCAGCACUUUUCAACAGUGGCCAAUACAAAGACUGUGGUGUGAAACACAGCCUGGAUAUCUGGCAUGGUGCAAAGAACCUUAGUAAAAAGAUUCUGGCUGCCGGACAUGAGAAGGACUGUGCCCUGCUUCUGAGUUGGAACAGAGACAUUUGCAACCACUUUUGGUACAGCUGUAAGGAAGCAGAAACGUUUGAAGCUUUCAACGAGUUCUGCAUCAUGUGACUGGCGUACAUGAGUGGUACUUUGGGGCCUGUCGACAUGGGCCUUUGGAGGAAGACAGGAAUAAAGAAUGGAUUCCAAAGGGCUCUGCAGCACACGAAAGACUCCAAAAGAUCGUUUAUGAUGCACGCUGGUUGAAAAACAUACCCAAGUAUCUCUCUUUCAGAUUGACCUCAGACCUGCAGUCCUUCCAUAACCAUAUUCUUAUGUAUGCCUCAAAGCGCUUCUGCUUCAAACCACCAGUGUACUAUGCUCGGACCCUGUUGGCAGGGCUGGAUUAUAACUACCACCUAACCGAGGAGCGCGAACAAAUGCUGAUGGCUCACAUCAGUAUGGCAGAAUUUUUAACAAAAGCUCUAAGAUGUGGCGGCUGUACACCAUCAAGAAUCCAAAAACCUACAAGUACAUCCCAGAUCUACAGAGCGCCAUCCUCCAUUCAAGACUUUUGGCUCCUAGGGGGAUGACAGGAAAGCAGCCUCUUGCACUUGAUGAUCCACGAAGGCUGGGGCUGUUGUCUGGUGUGGCUGCCCCAACAGUACAAGAAUUGAAGGAAAAGAAAGCCCACCGAGGGCUAGGUCAACCAUCUCACACAUGACCUGUCAGUAGAUGUGGUGCUUGAAGAGAAUAUGACUUUGGAAGUUUAGCUACAUAUAAAGGGGGCCAUAUCUAUGCUUUUUUCAUUUCCCCUGUACAUAAUGUGCCAUAUCAAACAUUUUCUGGUGAAUGUAUGCCAUGUAUAAAAGAACAGUAUAUAA